rnacentral:rRNA from 1 species
AUUGAACGCUGGCGGCAGGCUUAACACAUGCAAGUCGAGCGAUGAAAGCCUUAUGAACUAUUCGUAGUGAUUGGGGCCGGAUUAGCGGCGGACGGGUGAGUAACGCGUGAGCAACCUGCCUUAAACAACGGGAUAGCCUCGGGAAACCGGGAUUAAUACCGUAUGAGACCCCGCCUUCACAUGAAGAAGAGGUUAAAGAUUUAUCGGUUUAAGAUGGGCUCGCGUCUGAUUAGCUAGUUGGUGAGAUAAAAGCCCACCAAGGCAACGAUCAGUAACCGGCUUGAGAGAGUGAACGGUCACAUUGGAACUGAGACACGGUCCAAACUCCUACGGGAGGCAGCAGUGGGGAAUAUUGCACAAUGGGGGAAACCCUGAUGCAGCGACGCCGCGUGAGCGAUGAAGGAAUUCGUUUCGUAAAGCUCUGUCCAAGGGGAAGAUAAUGACAGUACCCUUGGAGGAAGCCCCGGCUAAAUACGUGCCAGCAGCCGCGGUAACAC